GAUAGAGAGAAGGGAAGGGAGAGAGAGGCAGUGGGGCAAGAGAUGAUAGAGAGAAGGGAAGGGAGAGAGAGAGAGAGAUGAUAGAGAGAGAGCAAGUCAAAAGCAGAAAGAGGAUUACGUGAAAAGAAUGAAGUUUCGAGUUUUUUCUUGCAUUGUGUAAAACGGCGGCAAGUCAAUCAAGAACUCUGAACCGAACUCUGCUGAUGAAAUUAAUUGACAAACGUUUUUAUAACGAACUGAAGUGACAUAUUACGCAAACACCGACUUAUUUCUAUCGUUUGCUCAUCAAAACUAGGAUAAAGGAAGAGGAGGACGAGGAAAAACGAGGCACAAGAGGGGGAGAGAGAGAAAAGAGCAGGCCAACUAUUUCAGUACUCAACUGGUGCUUGUUUUAUUGAGACACCCACCCACCCAAAAGGAUGAAAAGAACUGUCAACCUUGGCAGUAUUUGAACUCAGAACACGAAGACAGAUGGGCAAUGUAUUGUGUUUUUGAGCCAAACACUUCAUUUCACAUUGCUCCAGUUCCCUCAGCUGGCAAAAAAUGAGUAAUCCAGCGACAGACUGGCAUCCCAUCCAGGUGGGGAAUUUAUACACCAUGAAAGCCAGGAAAUCGGCUCUUAUGAGUCAGCAUGACUCAAGAAGAAUCCUUUUUGAUACCAACUUGCCUGCGACUACCAUUGGUUCUAUGAUAGAAAACCUCGUUUAUUUUGUUGUUGUUUUUUAAUGAAUUAAUAUUUAAAUUUAAAGCUUUCCAUCAUAAUUUAAUCUAAGAGCCUUUUGUUCAGUAAUAUUUUAAAAUACAUGAGUAAUAAUGAGAAAAAACUCAAUUUAUUUUAUUAAAUUUCUUCCAAAUUCUUGAUUACUUCAAAUUUAAUUACAACACAGGCUGAAUAUUUGACUGACAAUAUGUUCAUGAAAGGGUUACAAACAUGGGUAAGAUUAUUAUGAACUCAUAAUCAAAAUGAUUAUGUAGCAGAAGAAGUAGAGUACUUGGCUAAUGUCAAAAUUUAAAUGAAACAGAAGAAACAAGUGGUGCCAUGUGUUUGCAAAUUUUAAGUACAAAAAAUACACAAAACAAAUAUUUAUAGUAAAGAGUGGGCUUAACAUACAGCAGUAUAUUAACCCACAUUUUUGUCUCAAGCUUUUCUAAACAUGAAAUUCCAUAAUGCAAAAAUCUAUUUUUCCAUUUACUUCCAAACAAUAAACUGAGAUACAGUUGAGCAGAAUUUUUUGAGGUGGGAAACAAAAACAACAAGGAACCACCUUUAUUGCAUGGAAAUAACCAUUUUUCAAACACAAACGGUGAAAAAAUAUAUUAGGGAAUAAAGAAGAAUAAACAUUUAGUUAUCAUUUCAAUGACCAUCAUGUUUGGCCCAUUAGGUCCAGUUUGAUUGUUAAUCCACUCACUAAGGUUCUGCUGCAUACUAAGCAUCACAUCACAUGAGAUCUAUGAAAAAGCAAUAUCGGAGCAGUUAAUGGAGUAGCAGCUUAAGAACUUAACGAAAUUGUCACAUUGCUCCCAUAGCACAUGUUGCAAGCAUUAAUGUUUUUGCAGUAUGGCAGAGUCCUUCUUCCACAUCAAACCUUUGUAAAGCAUCAAGUUUAACAUUUAAUGUACUGCUUUUUAUGAGUGCCUUUCACACUAUUGCCUUUACUUUUACUUGAUGGUCUCUUUCUGGUUAUCUUCAAUAAGGCUAAUGCAUCACUCCAGCUGUAUUGCAUAUUUGUAGAAGUUAAAAUCCAGCAACAGCAGCAAUAGACAAGAAAUCUAAAGCUACACAACUCUGGCGAUAAACUAGAAAUGCAGUGGUGGUGAUGAUGGCCAAAAUAACCUUACAUCAACAACUGAAAAUGAUGGACAAGACAUUCACCUAGAAUAUGUUAUUUUCAAAAAGAAAAAAAAAAGAUAGGAGUAGCUUGCUUACCAACCACAUGAUUCCGGGUUCAGUCCCACUGUGUGGCACCUUAGGCAAGUGUCUUCUACUAUAGCCUCGGGCCGACCAAAGCCUUGUGAGUGGAUUUGGUAGACGGAAACUGAAAGAAGCCUGCGCUAAAGGACGAUGAUGAUGAAGAUGAUUAUCUCAUAACUUUUGAGAUUUCAAUGAUGUGAUUGUUUAUUUUUUAGAAUGACAUUGCAGGGUAGGUACGAAAAGCCAGAUCUGGGGGGUCUAAAUAUAAAACAGGUAGAAUAUUUAAAAAAAGAUAUGGCUGCUUUAACCCUUUAGCACUUGAACUGGUCGUAUCUGGCCUUCCAAACCUUCACUACAAUAUCAUUCUAAAAAUAAAUAAUUAGCUUAUCUAAAUCUCAAAGCUACAAGAUAUGCAUGAUCAAUUAAAAACAAUGUGAAUAAAUAAGCAUUACAUUUGAUGGAGCAGUCUAAAUCCUAAAGAGUUAAACUAAAUACAUCACAUAUUCAGUAUUUUCUCCACAAUAUGAAAAUAAGGCAAACACUAAAUAAGUCAAUCCCAGGAGAAAACACAAGUUAA